rnacentral:rRNA from 1 species
UACGUAGGGGGCAAGCGUUGUCCGGAUUUAUUGGGCGUAAAGAGCGUGUAGGCGGCCAAGCAGGUCCGCUGUGAAAACUCGAGGCUCAACCUCGAGACGUCGGUGGAAACCGUUUGGCUAGAGUCCGGAAGAGGAGAGUGGAAUUCCCGGUGUAGCGGUGAAAUGCGCAGAUAUCGGGAAGAACACCCGUGGCGAAGGCGGCUCUCUGGGACGGUACUGACGCUGAGACGCGAAAGCGUGGGGAGCGAACAAG